GUGGUGUCACAAAAUCGGAGGCCACGACUGUUUACUAAAAACACAAUUCAGAGCAAUGAUGAAAAUCAUAGUAUUCUGGAUGAAAUUUGCCCGAUGCCAUUAACAUAAAAGAGGUAAUGGGAAACUGUUACUAAUUGAAAGUCUGGUUAAUAGCGGUCUUAACUAUGAGGAUCCUAAGGUAGCAAAAUCAGUUGGCCAUUAAAUGUGGUCUGGUAUCAAUAGUGUAACGAUGGUCUCACUGUCUCUACAACUUGCUCAGUGAAAUUGAAUUAUCCGUGCAGAUGCGGAUUGCCU
rnacentral:rRNA from 1 species